UACGUAGGGUGCAAGCGUUAUCCGGAAUUAUUGGGCGUAAAGAGCUCGUAGGCGGUUUGUCACGUCUGCUGUGAAAACUGGAGGCUCAACCUCCAGCCUGCAGUGGGUACGGGCAGACUAGAGUGCGGUAGGGGAGACUGGAAUUCCUGGUGUAGCGGUGAAAUGCGCAGAUAUCAGGAGGAACACCGGUGGCGAAGGCGGGUCUCUGGGCCGUAACUGACGCUGAGGAGCGAAAGCGUGGGGAGCGAACAGG
rnacentral:rRNA from 1 species